rnacentral:rRNA from 1 species
GGAUGAGAAGAGCUUGCUCUUCGAUUCAGCGGCGGACGGGUGAGUAAUGCCUAGGAAUCUGCCUGGUAGUGGGGGACAACGUUUCGAAAGGAACGCUAAUACCGCAUACGUCCUACGGGGGAAAGCAGGGGACCUUCGGGCCUUGCGCUAUCAGAUGAGCCUAGGUCGGAUUAGCUAGUUGGUGAGGUAAUGGCUUACCAAGGCGACGAUCCGUAACUGGUCUGAGAGGAUGAUCAGUCACACUGGAACUGAGACACGGUCCAGACUCCUACGGGAGGCAGCAGUGGGGAAUAUUGGACAAUGGGCGAAAGCCUGAUCCAGCCAUGCCGCGUGUGUGAAGAAGGUCUUCGGAUUGUAAAGCACUUUAAGUUGGGAGGAAGGGCAGUAAGUUAAUACCUUGCUGUUUUGACGUUACCGACAGAAUAAGCACCGGCUAACUCUGUGCCAGCAGCCGCGGUAAUACAGAGGGUGCAAGCGUUAAUCGGAAUUACUGGGCGUAAAGCGCGCGUAGGUGGUUCGUUAAGUUGGAUGUGAAAGCCCCGGGCUCAACCUGGGAACUGCAUCCAAAACUGGCGAGCUAGAGUAUGGUAGAGGGUGGUGGAAUUUCCUGUGUAGCGGUGAAAUGCGUAGAUAUAGGAAGGAACACCAGUGGCGAAGGCGACCACCUGGACUGAUACUGACAC